CUGGCUUUUUAGAGGGACUAUCGGCUCAAGCCGAUGGAAGUUUGAGGCAAUAACAGGUCUGUGAUGCCCUUAGAUGUUUUGGGCCGCACGCGCGCUACACUGACAGAGCCAGCGAGUUCAUCACCUUGGCCGAAAGGUCCGGGUAAUCUUGUUAAACUCUGUCGUGCUGGGGAUAGAGCAUUGCAAUUAUUGCUCUUCAACGAGGAAUUCCUAGUAAGCGCAAGUCAUCAGCUCGCGUUGAUUAC
rnacentral:rRNA from 1 species